rnacentral:rRNA from 1 species
GGACUACUAGGGUUUCUAAUCCCAUUCGCUCCCCACGCUUUCGUCCUAGCAGUGUCAGGUGGCACCCAGAAGCCUGCCUACGCUAUUGGUGUUCCGAACGAUAUCAACGCAUUUCACUACUACACCGUUCGUUCCGGCUUCCUCUUUGCCCCUCUAGUCUAUCAGUUUCAAAAGACAGUCCCAAAGUUAAGCUUUGGAAUUUCACUUCUGACUUGAUAAACCACCUAUCGGUACGCUUUACGCCCAAUGAUUCCGGAUAACGCUUGAGGUCUCUGUAUUACCGCGGCUGCUGGCAC